rnacentral:rRNA from 1 species
AGUGAACGCUGGCGGCAUGCUUUACACAUGCAAGUCGAACGGUAACAUGAAGAAGCUUGCUUCUUUGAUGACGAGUGGCGAACGGGUGAGUAAUGUAUCGGAACGUGCCCAGUAGUGGGGGAUAACUACUCGAAAGAGUGGCUAAUACCGCAUGAGAUCUCUGGAUGAAAGUGGGGGACCGCAAGGCCUCACGCUACUGGAGCGGCCGAUAUCAGAUUAGGUAGUUGGUGGGGUAAAGGCCCACCAAGCCUGCGAUCUGUAGCUGGUCUGAGAGGACGACCAGCCACACUGGGACUUAGACACGGCACAGACUCCGACGGGAGGCAGCAGUGGGGAAUUUUGGACAAUGGGCGCAAGCCUGAUCCAGCAAUGCCGCGUGCAGGACGAAGGCCUUCGGGUUGUAAACUGCUUUUGUACAGAACGAAAAGGCUCUGGUUAAUACCCGGGGCUCAUGACGGUACUGUAAGAAUAAGCACCGGCUAACUACGUGCCAGCCGCCGCCGUAA